rnacentral:rRNA from 1 species
UACGUAGGGUGCGAGCGUUAAUCGGAAUUACUGGGCGUAAAGCGUGCGCAGGCGGUUUUGUAAGCCAGAUGUGAAAUCCCCGGGCUUAACCUGGGAAUGGCAUUUGGGACUGCAAGGCUGGAGUGUGGCAGAGGAGACUGGAAUUCCUGGUGUAGCAGUGAAAUGCGUAGAUAUCAGGAGGAAUACCGAUGGCGAAGGCAGGUCUCUGGGCUGGCACUGACGCUCAUGCACGAAAGCGUGGGGAGCAAACAGG